CUGGUGUACAAUUUCAUACUCAACAUACGAACCGUCCGAGGAAGUUACUGUACCGACGAUCUGGAUUUCAGUUGAAUAACCACUUCCUCCCGAGUCGCUGGAUAUAACUUCAGGUUUCUCUUCGUAAGAAUCGUCUUGUGCCAUACUUCUUUAAUCGAUUUAAUGGAGAAAGAAAUGUAGCUAGUUCGUCAUAUAAGUCAUGGCUUUGCAGACUGGAUUGUAUUUCGUUGUAAUAUGAUAGAGAUCGCAAAUCAAUAUACUUAUAACUACGUUAUACUGUAUAUGAGAAUGGAUUAGAUAGCGUUAUACUGAAUGCAUUGUAAAAUGGGUUUCCAUAAGGUCA